ensembl:snoRNA
GGGGUGUGCUUAGGUCCUGGGGCUGAAGUCAUGGUUCGUCUGUUUACAAAACGCCCAGCUGAAAUCUGGGCUCAGUGACAAGGAGCAUAAAAUGUGUGGAAGGCCUAUGAACACAUACCUACACAC